rnacentral:hammerhead_ribozyme from 1 species
CUGCUGAGGAGUCCCACAAUAGGACGAAACGGCCGUCCAGUGC